rnacentral:pre_miRNA from 1 species
GACAGUUGGGGCAUACUUUCUCAUGGACCCCCGAGUUGUGUCUAUUCGUUAACAGCUAGGCCGUCCAUGAGGUCGUAGGCACCCAGUAAU